UACGUAGGGGGCAAGCGUUGUCCGGAUUUACUGGGCUUAAAGGGUGCGUAGGCCGCGCGGAGGGUGGGAUGUGAAAUCCCCCGGCUCAACCGGGGAAUAGCGUCCCAAACCGCCGUGCUCGAGGGAGACAGAGGUGAGCGGAACUGAUGGUGGAGCGGUGAAAUGCGUUGAUAUCAUCAGGAACACCAGUGGCGAAAGCGGCUCACUGGGUCUUUCCUAACGCUGAGGCACGAAAGCUAGGGGAGCGAACGGG
rnacentral:rRNA from 1 species